AGUUUUAUGAAAAAAGGGGAAAUUGUAAACUUUGAAUUUUGUUUUACAAUUUGAUGUACUUUUAUUUUGAAAAAAUGCGUCUCUUCCUGCUGACGUAGUCCAUGUGACUGGCAACAGCCAAUCGGGUUUGUUGUUGAGCUGAGAGCUCUAAUGCUAGAGCGCUGCAUGCAUUGCGAGCUUCUCAGCCGAGGGAGAAGACAGGUACGCAAUUGAUCAAAGUUUGAAACCUUUUUCCGUUUUUUUAUUUCACUUUUACCUUAUGGUGAAGUUACAUUUUGAUUUUCCAACUGUGUGGCCUGGAAAACAUUUUUUUUUAACCAAACGGGACUUGGCCAUUAAGAUUGGGCCGAAAAAACGGACUCCUCAAUCCGGGAUCCAUGUGUGUGACAAAACAAGAUGGCGAGCCAACCCUGAACCUUUUGAUGUAGCAAGGUACCAAGCGCCCUCUGCUGGACAUCUGACAACCCCUUUUAUCCUUUGGAACGGGUAGGAACUUUCCUCAUUCCCCUGCAAACCGCAGAGCAUUACUGGAAAAUUGAAUUCGUACUCACGAACACGAGGAACGAAAGAUAAAAGUUUAUUUUGGGGUAUAUUCAGUCUUUUGCUGAAUCACUUUGAGUUUUAUAUAUAUAAUAAUAUAUAAUAAUAAUAAUAAUAUUUAUAUUGUUUUUAUUUCCAUUCACAGAAAAACUGUAAAGCAUUAUUGUGCAAUUUGAGUUAUUGUUUUGUUGGUCAAAGCAACGAUGGAAAAAAACCCUGAAAUUAAGGAAACUUAAUUUAAAUUAGAAUGGGAUAAAGUAAACAAACUUAGAAUUAAAACAAAACUAGAACUUGAUAUGUGACCUUGAAUCAACUAGAACUGAAACUAAAAGAAAAAACAAAAUAGAUCUCAAUCCUAACUUAAAUAUUGAACAAAACUGAUCUUAAGAACUAACCUGAGUUAAAGAAAAAUAUUCUUUUAAUCUAAAUCAUAAGAUUAAACUAACUGGGAUUUCUUUGUUAAAUGGUAUGUGUUUGUAUUGUUUAUGUAUGUCUAAUUAAAUAAUCUCUCUAAUUCCAACUAUAUCGUGGUCUGUGGUCUUUUUUUCUUGGUUUUCUAAGGUACAAGUUUAAUAUUCUAACAGUUGAACCUACUAGUCCAGAUUUACUGUAGCUAUCCCUCAGAGGUGGUACGUUAGCAUGUUGCUAAAAUAUUAGCUAAACUCAAAAUUAGCAUACAAAUCUCAGUAGAUGCCAAAUUAGACAAAAAAAA